rnacentral:lncRNA from 1 species
GUGAAGAGAGCCUCCUUUUGUUGAUUUCCCUAAGUCAUCAGUCAGACUAGCAGUACAUCAAUAUUAUAAGCAUUUUUCUAAACAGAAGAAAUGAAUGAGUUCCCAAGUGUAGCCACUCAAAAGCCUGCAUCAGCUCAGUGAAACUUUCCUUCCAAGAGGCCCACAGCUUCUGGCCUGUCUCCUGAUGGAACAGAAUAUGUGUGGAAAGGGCUUCAUGCUGUGGUCACUGAUUACAGAGUCAAUUAUCUUACUACAAUUUUUUUCACAGUAAGAAAACC